AACGUCAAAUUAAAUAUUGAUGUGUUUCAUGAGCACAUAUGUAUAUAGCGAUUAUGAUAUGUUUAUUUUCGUGAGCUAUACUCUGGUCUCUUUUUCUCUUUUUCACAUGUCUUAUUUAUAUAUUUCUCCUUGCCCUACUCUCCUAUUACUUCUACUCCGUACUUUAUUUCUCAAAUCUCUUCUCCCAAUUUCUCGCUCUCGCUCUCACUGUCCUUUCCAUCCACCCUGAGUGCAAACUCCGCCUCUCCCUGUCCCGAUUCAUCCCGCCACCAAACAUCACACCGCCAUGCGCGGCCGCCCGCUUGUGCGCACCGCCUCCGCCCGUAGAUUCCCGCCGCCCGUCCACUCCCGCGCGCCGUCUACUCCCACUUGCCGCCAGGUACGCCUGUGCGCCGCCCACACAUCGCGUCCGGCCACUGGUCGCCGCGCACCACUACCCGUCCGUAGGGCCACCGAUGGCUCGCGCCGACGCGGUCCUUGCUGCCUUGCGCAAGGCAACCGCCAUCCCGGCCUCAGGCUCGUCCUAUUGACGUCCAAGUCCCGCGGGGAGCCACCGGCGCGCACAAGCCGUGGAGGCGGCGGUCAGAGCGCGCAACGGAGCAGCGGGUCCGCAGCCGCCUUCCGCACACAGACGCCGCCGACGUGCACGAGCUGGUGGAGGCGACAAGAGCGGCGGCGGGCGAGAUCCGAAGGGCGGCGGCGAGUUCCGGAUCGGGCAGGGGGUGGGGGUGAGAUUCGUAGGAGAGGAGGAGGAGCGACGAGGGCUCUGUUGGUUUUUCUUUUUUCUUUUUUGGGAGGUACGUGUUUUUUCUGCGCUUGAAGACUGCGGGAGCUGGGAUUAAAAGACACGUGGGGACAUUGAUGGCAGAUUCAUAAUUUCAGUGAAGUGACGUACCGCGACGUCCAUACCAUCACCACCAACUCCAAUUUAAUAUAUUGGUAUAGAUUCGUGCCCCUGUGCCCCCUGUUACUCGUUAUCUUGCUUGCACGCUUAAGACUAUCAUACCCAGGCCAAAAGAUGUUGCCUUCGGUGAUUGUCAAUUUGAAUUUGGGCAACUAUAUUCAAAAGACAGAUGGAUACAAGUUCACCUGUAUCUGCUAGACUAUAGUAUAGUUUUUUUUCUCGUGUUUUUUUAUAAAAUGUGUUUAAAUGAUUAGAUGUUCCAGCUUUCAACUGAGCCGUUUAUUUGAGAUCUAAUGGCUGUGAUCAGAAGUUAAUAAGUUUUCACUAAAUAGAGGUUUUCACGCCGAGCUAAAUAUUUAACUGUGAUUCCAGUGCCCAGUUCUCUGUGCUCUUCAUGUCAGUAGUUUGGCUGCUAUAUAGUGAUAAUCCAUGUGGCAAUUAUUGUACUGAUCAUAUCAUUACGCAAGGACAAUUUAAGGGGCUUUUAAACUUCAGUGCGAGAGAAAAAUGUGGUUGGCCUUAGGAUCUGCUCCAUGGAGUUUUGUUUUUGGUCCUUGCAGCUACUAGCCUACUAUCUGGUGUUCUGGUGUGCUAUUAUUUAAUAGAUAAUAGUUUCAUUUAUUUGCAUUGCUUCUGAGCGAGCUUAGUCUCUUUUUUAGACCUUUGCACCAUUUGCUCAACCAUUGUCCAGUUUUUGCAGGUUUAAUGUGUUAAUUCUCUGCUCCAAUGAGCAGGCCAAAGUUGUUGCUUUUCUUAGGUAACAUAGAUAUAUGUUUAGUUAAGAAAAUGAAUGUGUCCGAAAAGAUAUAAGUUUAUUUAGGAAGAGGUUAGUUUAAAUAGGAAAAUAAAUAUGUAGUUUAUUAGGAAAGUGGGAUUCUAUUCUUAGCUGUCAAGUCGAGUUUUACAUAUAGAAGGGUCACCAUGUACUCAUAACAUAAGAACAAAGUUGUUCGGGCUUGGCUUUGUAACCCUUUGUAGUGUGUCUUAACAUGUGCUAAGGGAGAAAAGAGGGCAGAGCUAUCUUUUCUUAAAAUUUUACUCCUUGUUUACAAAUAAUGAACUACAAUAAAUGAAAUAUGUGAGGGUUGAGCUCCUGAGUUUAUGUAGGUUUUUGUAAUGGUCAUUGCCUUUUUGCAGAAUUUAGCACUUUUUAAAUUUUAUAUGAAUGGAUUCGAUGAAAUAUUGAAAUUUGAUUACAACCACCAGAGUUAUUGCUAUGCUUCAUCUUAAGUAGUAAUGAUUUUCAAUGAUACUAAUUUCUAUUAUAUGAGAAGUCUGUGUUCUUACAAAACUUUACCUGUCAUGAAUUGUUUAGAUUUCGUUGGAUAACUCACUUCAGAUUUUUUUUCCAAACAUUUCUGUCAUUUAUAUUUCUUAAGAUACAUGGGAGCUGCAAUUUGUGUAUCAAGCCACAACAAACAUUUAAAUAUAAACAACCGGCCAGUGAUAUACACUUGUUUUAUUUUUUUAGACAACAAAUCCGAUUGUUUUCGCAUAAUAGGUAAUACAUUAGCAGACAUGUGUAAUUCUGGAAAGGGAGUCGGGGUAACCACCCGGGGAAGGUACCCUCUUUGGCGGUAAUCCAUAAUACCCCGUAAUAAAGAUUGGUCCUUAAGCCUAUAGACUGUGCGGUCAUGAUUUCAACAUACUUAUAUGCUCAUUCUCAUGAAACGCAUGAUGUGCUCUGACUCCAUUGAAGCUGUGGUGCGGAGAAGAGGUAAGCUGACGCUCUGCCUAUGUAGUGAUAUAAAUGAACCUGACAGCAGGCAUGCAAAUUUUGAUGCCUUUACAGAUUCAGCCGUUCAGCCCAAACAAACCUGUCUAUGAGAGACUUGUUGUGCAAGAGGCAAGCCUGAAAAAUAUAUUGAUACAGAAUGGCUGACAGUUGGUGGCGCAUCUCGUCAGAGUUAUAAUCUUGUCAGUUGUCCCUAAGGUGUUCCAAUAAUCUCCCAUGGCUCAUCUUCCAGCAGCAUGCUAUUGAGCACCGGGACACCCUCCAGCACUUCUAGCUCUGGGCAAUCAGUGAUGGUUAUGUUCAGCAACAUGAAGAGGCCACUGAUCUUCUUGAGCUUGGGGCAGUAGAGCACAUCUAGUUCCACAACCGAAGGGAAAUUCUCCAGAGAUGCUAGGAUGCUGAGCCCACUCAGAGCAAGGUGGGGUGGUUGGUUUUCCUGGAGUGGUGGUGGCGUAUACUGCUGGUUAACUGGUGAUGGGAAUGGGAGUAGGAAGAGGAGGCGAGCCAACGGCAUGGACUUGGGGGGCAAUUUUGGCGACUGGUGGGUGGGGAUUGGACUGGAUUGGGAGACACGCGUGGACAAGUGUGGACUGUCUGCUAAAUUUACUUUCUGUAAUUUAAUGCUAGAGGACCAAAUUCUCUUUGGUCUUGAAUUAUAUGGAUACUGUACACUGCAAGAGGCAAGCGAGUGUUAAGGACGAGGGAGAAGAACCGUGGAGAGCACCUCUUCCUUUCAAUUCUGGGCGUGGAUUACCGCCGGAUUAUUCAGACAAAAAUGAAAGGGAAGAGGAGAAGAACUGUCGAGGGCACCAACUACGCCUACUGGUUUUCGUCAAAAAUAAGUACUGAGCACGCACCAACCCCCGCCUGCAUGCGUGCGACUGACUCCGGAUACGUUGGGACCAAAAUAAAAAGGGAAGGGGGAGAUGAACCGCUGAAAACACCAACCAGGUUUUGGUAAAAAAUAAGGUACUCCGUUCAGUCCAUUUUCUCGUAGCUUUCUCUAGAUAUGCAUAUAUUAGAGCACACUUUUCUUUGAGUGCACAGUAGCAAGUGAUUUGGGGUGCAUUGGAAACUUUUGGGUGCUAGUCUGAGACCUGGCUCUCCUAUACUUUGUGUGAAUUGGUGGAUUACUCCCUGGCUUCAAAGCUUGUUUUGUGGAAGGCUUAUGAGCUAUUUGCUGGGCAAUAUAGAAGUCUCGCAAUGUUGUGUGUUUUGAGAAAAUGUGUGUUGUGUCGCCCUACGGCAGUUGUAUUCUUAUUGUUGAUUGUUUUUUGUUCAGAGAAUUAGAAAUUGAAAUUUUGGUUUCGAUCGAACAAUUUUUUAUGUCAAAUGGAGCAGUUGCUUGUUCUUGUGUCA